UACAGAGGUCUCAAGCGUUGUUCGGAUUCAUUGGGCGUAAAGGGUGCGUAGGUGGCGCCGUAAGUCGGGUGUGAAAUUUCGGAGCUUAACUCCGAAACUGCAUUCGAUACUGCGGUGCUUGAGGACUGGAGAGGAGACUGGAAUUCAUGGUGUAGCAGUGAAAUGCGUAGAGAUCAUGAGGAACACCAGUGGCGAAGGCGACUCGCUGGACCGGUCCUGACGCUCAGGCGCGAAAGCGUGGGGAGCGAUCCGG
rnacentral:rRNA from 1 species